CUGCUGCACACAACCUAGCCCUCCUUGAGUACACGCAAUGUGAGGGAGCGCGAUAAAUGGUCAACCAACGCAGCAGCCAAGAGCUCUACAUGUUGACUAAAUGAGCAGAGAAGACAGCCAUGGCACAAGCACCUCGACCUAGACGAUGCGUAGGAAUCACAUGGGAUCACGGGGCUCAAGAACAGGCAAAUGGAACUCUUCGGCAUUGAUGGGAUUCACUGUCGAAGUACCAUGGCAAACAUCCAAAUUACAAGGCAUGAAAUUGUUGGUCCUGUCUGGUACAAACAAAACAAGCAUCUCAAGUCUAUUAUGAGUUUGCACUAUUAGCAACCCCACAGUUGGCAGUGACACAAAGGAUGUCUGUAUCAGCUCUUUGUCACUAUUUAUUUCAUCGAGCAAAUGAGGCAAAUUGUUUUGCAAGAACACUCAAGUUGGAGCAGUAGGCCAGUGCAAGAUUGUGAUCAGCUGGAGGACCACUCAACAAUUAAUGAUUCCAAAAUGGUCAUCGCAAUCAGACUUGGAUGCAUCCCACAAAGAUCAAAAGAACAAAAAGGAUAAAGAUUUCGUCCUGCCAUCACAGAAGAUUUUGUCUUUGAUCGUCUUGACCUGUGAGACCAAUUGCAUCCUUCUUUCGAUCCUCGCAAUGUUUCGGUCAGUCAGCUUUUGCAAACUUGUAGUAGGACUGGCUCUUCACGGAACUCAUCCAUUUCACUUGUUCUGUGCCAAAGCUAGACAGGGGAGUUGCAGUAUGCAUGCUGCAAAAUUACACCUCUCUGUCAGCAGCAUCAGUCCAAGGGCCAAGAACUGAUUGAUCUCUUUUGUAGCUCUCGCUCUGCACAGGACGUCUCCUUUCGAGGGUCAAAAUGACAGAAGGCCAGAUCAAGUACACAGAGAUGGAGAUGCAAUCCAAAGAUAAGACAUCAAUGCAGCUUUGACUGGGAGAAGUGCCUGUGACUUCAAAGAACAAGAUGACUCGAAGACCGAGUUAGAUUACCACAUCCUGAGAUUGCAGUCAAAGAACUUGAUGCUUCUAGUUUGGCAAUAACCUUGUCAUCUAC